AGGUAAGCUACUAAGAGCGAAUGGUGGAUGCCUUGACUGGUAAAGGCGAUGAAGGACGUACUAGACUGCGAUAAGCUACGGGGAGCUGUCAAGAAGCUUUGAUCCGUAGAUUUCCGAAUGGGGCAACCCAAUGUAUAGAGAUAUACAUUACCUAUAUAGGAGCGAACGAGGGGAAUUGAAACAUCUUAGUACCCUCAGGAAAAGAAAUCAAUAGAGAUUGCGUCAGUAGCGGCGAGCGAAAGCGCAAGAGGGCAAACCCAGUGCUUGCACUGGGGGUUGUAGGACUGCAAUGUGCAAGAGGUAAGUUUAGCAGAACAUUCUGGAAAGUAUAACCAUAGAGGGUGAUAGUCCCGUAUGCGAAAAACAAACCUUAGCUAGCAGUAUCCUGAGUAGGGCGGGACACGAGGAAUCCUGUCUGAAUCCGGGUCGACCACGAUCCAACCCUAAAUACUAAUACCAGAUCGAUAGUGCACAAGUACCGUGAGGGAAAGGUGAAAAGAACUGAGGUGAUCAGAGUGAAAUAGAACCUGAAACCAUUUGCUUACAAUCAUUCAGAGCCCUAUGUAGCAAUACAGGGUGAUGGACUGCCUUUUGCAUAAUGAGCCUGCGAGUUGUGGUGUCUGGCAAGGUUAAGCAAACGCGAAGCCGUAGCGAAAGCGAGUCUGAAUAGGGCGCUUAGUCAGAUGCUGCAGACCCGAAACGAAGUGAUCUAUCCAUGAGCAAGUUGAAGCUAGUGUAAGAACUAGUGGAGGACUGAACCCAUAGGCGUUGAAAAGCCCCGGGAUGACUUGUGGAUAGGGGUGAAAGGCCAAUCAAACUUCGUGAUAGCUGGUUCUCUCCGAAAUAUAUUUAGGUAUAGCGUUGUGUCGUAAUAUAAGGGGGUAGAGCACUGAAUGGGCUAGGGCAUACACCAAUGUACCAAACCCUAUCAAACUCCGAAUACCUUAUAUGUAAUCACAGCAGUCAGGCGGCGAGUGAUAAAAUCCGUCGUCAAGAGGGAAACAACCCAGACUACCAGCUAAGGUCCCUAAGUCUUACUUAAGUGGAAAACGAUGUGAAGUUACUUAAACAACCAGGAGGUUGGCUUAGAAGCAGCCAUCCUUUAAAGAAAGCGUAAUAGCUCACUGGUCUAGUGAUUUUGCGCGGAAAAUAUAACGGGGCUAAAGUAAGUACCGAAGCUGUAGACUUAGUUUACUAAGUGGUAGGAGAGCGUUCUAUUUGCGUCGAAGGUAUACCGGUAAGGAGUGCUGGAGCGAAUAGAAGUGAGCAUGCAGGCAUGAGUAGCGAUAAUUAAUGUGAGAAUCAUUAACGCCGUAAACCCAAGGUUUCCUACGCGAUGCUCGUCAUCGUAGGGUUAGUCGGGUCCUAAGUCGAGUCCGAAAGGGGUAGACGAUGGCAAAUUGGUUAAUAUUCCAAUACCAACAUUAGUGUGCGAUGGAAGGACGCUUAGGGCUAAGGGGGCUAGCGGAUGGAAGUGCUAGUCUAAGGUCGUAGGAGGUUAUACAGGCAAAUCCGUAUAACAAUACUCCGAGAACUGAAAGGCUUUUUGAAGUCUUCGGAUGGAUAGAAGAACCCCUGAUGCCGUCGAGCCAAGAAAAGUUUCUAAGUUUAGCUAAUGUUGCCCGUACCGUAAACCGACACAGGUGGGUGGGAUGAGUAUUCUAAGGCGCGUGGAAGAACUCUCUUUAAGGAACUCUGCAAAAUAGCACCGUAUC
rnacentral:rRNA from 1 species